GGACCUGACUGCUAUCGGAUUGAUACUAAGCCAUGCGAGUCAUUGUAGCAAUACAAGGCAUACGGCUCAGUAACGCGUAGUCAACCUAACCUAUGGACGGGAAUAACCUCGGGAAACUGAGAAUAAUGCCCGAUAGAACAUUAUGCCUGGAAUGGUUUAUGUUCCAAAUGAUUUAUCGCCGUAGGAUGGGACUGCGGCCUAUCAGUUUGUUGGUGAGGUAAUGGCCCACCAAGACUAUUACAGGUACGGGCUCUGAGAGGAGUAGCCCGGAGAUGGGUACUGAGACACGGACCCAGGCCCUAUGGGGCGCAGCAGGCGAGAAAACUUUGCAAUGUGCGAAAGCACGACAAGGUUAAUCCGAGUGGUUUCUGCUAAAGAAACCUUUUGUCAGUCCUAGAAACACUGAUGAAUAAGGGGUGGGCAAGUUCUGGUGUCAGCC
rnacentral:rRNA from 1 species